CUUUUUUGUAAUAUAUAAAAACAGGAAUAUAAAUAAAUAAAAGUGGAACAGAAUAAUGGUAAUAGAUUGUUAGCUUAUAGAUUGUGUGCACUGAUGCCACUUAAGUUUAAUACCAAACGGUCUUUUUAUAGUGCAUUUCUGUAAACGUUCACAGUUAUUGUUUAUGUAUAUAUACUGUAUAUUCAGUGCACUACAAAAAAAUAAAGAACACACUAUUUAUAUAGUGCAUUCCUAACAUUUUCAGAACUUAUUGUGUAACAACAUGGAACAAUAAAAUAUAUUUAAAAAAAUGUCUUUUUCAUUUAGUCAUGAAUUUCAAAUGUAUUAGUUGAUUUGGCAAGAGAGUAAAUUCUCAUUCAAUUACUGGAAUUAAUUGCUUCGAAUUAUUCAAAUGCACUAUAAGAUCUGCAUAUUAGUCAUUUAAGUUUUUACAUGUAUUUAAAUCUCAUGAUUCCAUGUUGUAACAAUAAAAUAGGUACCUUUAAUAGGCACUGCGUGUAGUGAAAUAUAUACAUACACAUACUGUACAGUA